AUUCCAGCUCCAAGAGCGUAUAUUAAAGUUGUCGCAGUUAAAAAGCUCGUAGUUGGAUUUCUGGUCUAAUGCGCCUGGCCCGCUGCCGUUAGGUAUGUGAGUGCCGGUGCGCGUUUACCAUCCUUCCAGAGAGCACUUCUACCAUUUAUUUGGACGGAUGUUGUCUUCUGGAUCUUUUACUUUGAAAAAAUUAGAGUGUUUAAAGCAGGCCUUUGCUGUGAAUACAUUAGCAUGGAAUAAUAAUCUAGGACUUCGGUUCUAUUUUGUUGGUUUCUAGUACUGAAGUAAUGAUUGAUAGGGAUAGUUGGGGGUGCUAGUAUUGGCCGGCCAGAGGUGAAAUUCUUGGAUUCGGUCAAGACUAACUUAUGCGAAAGCAUUCACCAAGGAUGUCUUCAUUG
rnacentral:rRNA from 1 species